AGGAAAGAAAGAAAGAAAGGAAGAAAGGAGAGCAAGAUUUUUGACAGCUUUUAUUCCUUUAAAAACUGUGUAAAUAAGGGGCAAACAUGCAUAGGUUGGUAAUUUGUAACCCAAGCUUUGCAUAACAUGGAGGAAGUACUAUUCUUUCUGAUCAAAAUGUUUAUAAGGAAGGAAGUCCUGCACAGAGAAGAAUGGAUGACAAAUUGAUUAAAAUAGGAAUUAUUAGUUCAUCCACAGUUAGCAUAAAGAGGUGGUAAAAAUGCAUGAAAACAAAAGUAGUGUAAGAAAAACAAACAGUGGAAAAGAUUUUCCACCUGCAACAGAGACCAGUAAUACUUGGUUUACCUUAUACAUGUGCUAUGAAAUACUGUUUCUUGUAAAGUUGUUCUCUUUUCCGAGCGAUGAUCCCUCAAUGUACAGUCUGAGAAGUGCUGGUAAAUAAUAAUUUACCAGUGGUCUUUUUUGUCUUUUGUGUGUUAUGUUCUGGACUCCUUAUUUUUAAGGCUGUUGCCAUCAAAGCCAAAGACAUUUUUAUUACUGACUUCAGAGGAGACAGAAUUUUAGUCUUUGCCUGGUGCCCUACAGACAGGACUAGAUCUAGUUCUGUUACUUGGCCAUUUGACAUUCUAGGCAGAAGUAAUGUGUAACUGCAUUUAAUUUAAAACAGGGAGAAUGCUCAAGUACAUGUUGAUAAACCGUACUGGCUGCAAUUAUAUCACACACACAUAGUAGUAACUCUGUGAGGGAUGUUAGUAUAUGUUCACUUGAUGAAGUUUCUGUUGUUAGCAGAAACUUUACCAUCUUGCCUGUCACACUUUUGUUUGCAAGUGCAGUGCUAAUUCCAAGUAAAAAGGAUGGACUCUUCCUUAAGAGGAUCUCCAGGCUAAAUAAAGCUGCCAGUCUGAAAGGCUGAAGUGGUGAUUCAGGGAGGCUGUUCCACAUUAGGCUCUCCUGUGAGCUUGGUCAAUUAGUUCGUCAUUGCAGAGAUUUUCAGAUGUCUACAGUGCUGUUGGAUCUGGUUGCCUCAAUGGCCUUAGCAGUCAGCAGAGCCAUUUUUAAGAUGCAAUUCAUCUCACCCUACUGAAGAUCACUAAAACGAUCAAAUGGUGCUUUGCUUCUCCCCAUUGAUUCUGAACAGUUCAGAUGAAUGCCUGUCUGGCAUUCCACAUCCUGUCUGUGCUCUUCACAGAUUAAAUUGAUUUCCUUCUAUCCAGAGAUGCUCUUAACAUGAAGUCAGCAUUGCAAUGUGAGGGGCUACAGCAAUGAUUGCUCUUCAAAAGUUUUCUCCUUAGCAGAAAGUUUUGCACAAACUUCUUCAUUCAUUUUAUAAGAAACAGCUUAUGCUUAGGAAAAAGAGAUGACUUUUCCAAGGGGAAAACAAUAUGGCAAGAUAACAGUGAUUCACUCAGCAGGCCAUGAUCUGUCUGUUGGCUGCUACACCAUAUCUGCAUUUAUUAAAGGCAUCACAGUAAGAAGCUGGAAGGACUUUGUGGUUACUCACAGGCAGGUCCUCUAAGGCGUUGCCAGGUAGCAUCUAAUUAUAAAUGGGUUUUUAAAUGCAAUGUAAUUAAAUCAAAAGAUAGCGUCAGCAAUAUGAUCGAAAGUGAAUGAUCUGUAUCUCACCUAAAUAGUUUCACAAUUAGAGUUACAAUGAAUAGACCACGUUUGGAGGAACAGAAAUGUACUUAAUCUUCCGAAACGUACGUUACAAGAUACUAAACCUAUUGAUAAGGAAAAAGAUUAAUGUAGAAUGUCUUUUUUAGUCUGAUAUCAGAACUUCAUCCGAACCCCAUAAAGCAAUAGUUUGCACUAACCACAGAAAAAUGACUUUUGGAAUUAACAUAAAAACAUUCAGCUUAAAGCAGCCUGUUGCCUUCAAUAGCAGAAAACUUACAUGGCCUUGCUAACUGAAAGCUGUCAAAUGCCACGUAGUUGAUUGCAGAGUUUAGACCCCACUGUUGCUAGCUCAGACAUUGAAUAAAAUGUCUCAGUUGACAGAGAAUGAUCCUGUCUUCUGAUUAGAGCAGUACGCUGAGUCAGGAGAUCAAUGCUUAAUUGUUCAACGGCUACAGAUUAUUCUACCUUGGAUGAGUAAGUGUCUGUCUGAAACGUGGUAGAAACUUCUUCCAUCCCCUACCAAUCUGUGAACCCAUGAGGACACAAACUAGUUCAGCUGUGAAUUUUUAAAAACACAAAUUCAACAGCUAAUUAUAAAAUUCAUUUGGGAUGAUUGUAUUCGAUAGUCCACCUGAAUUUUCCUUAACGCUUCUUUAUUAUUUGCCUUUACUGUACCUGAACAAUUCCUUAGACUUUCUUUAUUAUAUUCUCCUGUCAGCCACUAGCUUAAAAAAUCUUUUUUUUUUUUUUUUUUUUUUUUUAGCUCUUUUUCGUUACCCUGACAAGUUGAUUUUGAACUGAUAGAACAUCUGAUGAAUACAGAAUGGCAUGUGUUGUUAAGGAUUAACAAGUUUGCUUUGAGGUUUUUACUGCUACGCUUAUAUAAUGAAUACCGUGCCAGGGAUGUUAACCUGGAAAACAAGAAAAUCAGAAAAUUAACCAGAUUGGAAUACUUGUUACACAAAGUUCACAUAGAACAUAUUUCAGCUAUUUUUUUUCUCCAUGACCAGGUGAUUUUCUUAGAAUAUCUGGUUUGGAAACGUCUUAAUUUGACAAUAGGCUGCUUUUAUGACCUGAAGCAUAUGGCGAGUAUCAGAAAUAAAUGAGUUUGUUGUGGCUCCUGUGCUUCCCAUGUUUUGUUGGAAUCGUUACCGUGCUGGGUUUCAGCUGUAAGACAAAAAGAAUGUUCUUGGUUCACACCUGUGGGGUAUUAGAAAUUGUGGUUACUUUUGUCUUCUGAUCGAAGCAGAGAUACAGCAGCAUUGAGUUUGCACUCAGAUGAAUUCAAGCAGCAAGCUGCUCUGUUCUGCAUGCUCAUUUUUUCCUUACUUUGUUUUCUGUCUUUCCCAGUUUUCAGGAACUAUGUCUGUCACAGUCUAAAAUACAAAGUCUCACUGCGCCCAGGUUUGUGUCUCGCAAGUCCACACUAUGACAGAAGACACUGAUUUAAAAACACACCCGUGAAGGCUGAAAUGAAACUUCUGAAUCCUAUUUCCUUCUCAAUUCCUUUUUUAAAGCAUAUGCUUUUGUGUUUCCCUUUAUUGCAUACUCAGACUAACAUGGACCCACAAUACAAUAAACAGUCUUGAACUGCCAGCCUUUAACUUUUACUGUUUGCUUAGGAAGUGUUUGAGAGCAAAUCUGAAAAAGCAUUUUUUUUUAAUUUAAUUUAAUUUUAUUUUUUUUACCAAAUGAACGAUGAAUAAGAUUUUGCAAUAAAACUAGCUCAGGAAAAGACAAGAUGCAUCCUCUUUGCAAUAGCCAUCCUUGACUAUGUCAAGCAAAGCCAUAAAACUUAGCUCUGGCCGAAAUAUUAUACAGGCUUAUUGUAACAAAAUUAUGCAGUUGCCUGACUCCAUUCUUUCAGAAAUCUUUUCCACAGAUUUCAGCACUCCCUGACAUCAUUAUGUCAUGGCACUCAGAGCUGCUGACAGGAGGAGCCCGGGGCUUUCCUGGAUGAUGUUCCCAAUUGUCCGUGUGUUGUGGGCAGCUGAGUGCCGCCAGACCUCCCCUGGUGCAGCCCUGCUGGAGGGCAGCAGCAGCUCACUGCAAUGACUCCCCACACGUUUCCCAGCGUUGGCACAAUUCAGCUUCAUUAAAAGACCUGAUUCUAAGAGGGAAGAGCUUAUCUGGGAAUACUGGGAAAACUGGGAAUGAUUGGGUCAGAACACCUUGUGCCUGUAAGAUCUGCGGAGGCAUUCUCUGCAGUGGAUGGUUUAAACUACUGACCUCUUGGCAACAAAGCUGUUUUACUAAUGAAUGAGUUGUAUCCUUCUUUCUCAUUCAUGGCUAAUGCCACACUAACAUUACACUUUAAAAAGUUUAUAUGUGUUUUCAGCAAACCAAAGUGGUAUUUUUUGAUGAUAAAGGAACCCUCGUUUUCUCUUUGCAUGCAGUAUUUCUACUCAAAUUAUACCUUGUCAGUAGCAUUAGCUUUAGGCAAACUUCUAGUAGUGAACCUCCUUUCUUCCUUUGUAAUACUCAGUGGAGCCUGACUUUACAGGACUGGUUUCUGGAAAUAAAUGUCAUUGCUUGCAUUGUUUGCAGACUCUUUCUAUUCAUAAAAGACACCUCAAAUAUGGCAUAUUUCAUUGCUUGGAUUAUAUGCAGUUUGUUUUAAUGGUGACCCCAACGCCAUUUACAGUAUAUCCUUCUGUAGAGUGAAACUGCUCCAUGCUCUAUUUACAAGUUCUUCCGGAGUUAAAUGGCUUGUAAAUGCUCCUGUCCAUAAAAGAAAGUGUCCCUUCUUCAAAGGUAAUAGAGAGAUGUGCACAUAUAUUUGCAAACCAGUAUCUGAGCUGUUCUAUCUGUCCUGAAAACCAGCUGAAUCAAUGAAAUUUUCCCUCUUCAGCUGGCUCGCAGUCAAGCCCACAGUCACGUUCCCUGUGUGCCUUGAAUGUUUAAUCAGUAAACACUGCAGGGAAAUAUUUAACUGCAAACACAAAUCUAUCAUCAUGAGCAUGCCAUAAACACACAGGGAAAUUCCUAUUUAAUUUUCUAAAAUUGCUUGCUUACAGGAUUAAGUAUGUGGGAUUAAACUGACUUUAAAAAAUGUAAACUGAGAGGCAAUAAGAUGCACAGAUUCUGUUUUGGCCCCGUGCUGCUCCUGUAGGGUUUGCAAAGAUGCUAUCAUGCAGCAUUUCAGUCAUGGCAGGAAUGAACUGGAAAUGGCUUGAGAUGAGGUGGUGGGUAGGGAAAAGGUUGCCAUAAAACCUCAGGUUGUAUUUCAAGAUGCUUGAAAUAGCAUCUGCUAGAAACAAGUCACACAACUGUGGUGCACAUCGAAGCUAGAGAGGUAAAAAGACAAAACAAGACGAGGUGCCUCUGCAUGGAGGAAAGCAGUGGAAAUCUAUCUGACCUUUCUUUGACCCUGUAAUCUUUGCCAUUUCUGCUCUGAAUAUGUUAUGUUCUCAGGUCCAUUCUCAAUUCUUUCUUCUGCAUGAUCAUCAUUUAAUAUCUUCACUGACUGGAGAUCUCCUUAUUUACUGCUCUGAUGGUUAUUUCCCCUCUGCCAGCCUGUCUUUUCAUUUGCCAUCCUUCUGUCUGUAUCUCUGAUACCUAAUUCCCCCUAAUAUCUUUCAUUCAUCUUAACAUCUUGAACUGCUAUUUAGAAAUCAGUGGAGCUUUCUUGGUCUUAUCAUUCAAACUCUGCAGUCAUUUGCUAACCUUUUCUGUUUGUUCUCAGAUCUUUCUGCUUUUCUUCUUUUCCCAGGCCAUAACUCAUGCAGUUUGAUGCCAGCCAUUUACGUCCUCUUCUCCCGCUAUUCCCUUUUCAUUCCAGUGAUUUCUUAUUUCUUUGCUGUUUGCAACCUCUUUUUCUUGCUUGCCUUUGCUCUUGCUGCCCUCUUGGCAGGGUCAGUUUUUGAAAUGCAGUUUGGCUUUGGGCUGACAGAGAUCAUAUUUAAGGGCUAACGUCUCUUUUCUGGAAACCAAUCUUUCCAGUGCACACCACUCUCGAACCAUCCUCAUUUAAGGACCUGGAAGUCAAGCUCUCCAAACUGAGUUACAACCUCACACUGGAAGAGAGCAUUUCCUCCUAUUGUUGAAAUAAAGGCAAUAAAAGGUGUUGGCAAAAUAUUAUUGCUCCAGUUUUACAGAGUCUGAGUUGAAAGUUUAACUCAGAUAUUGUAAAACUUUGAUUUCUUCAUGGUAGAAAUAUUCUACUGCAUGGACUGUCACCUCACUGGCUCUUCUGGAAACCAAACCAGGCCUGGAUGGGUGUGGAGAUUUCCUCAGCAUCUGUCAUAGUUAUUGUGCAUCAAAAUUAAGGUGCUGCUGGUUUUGAUGGCUUUACUGUGAAGUGUGAUUGACCAGGAUGAUCUGGUUUAAGAAUAGUAAAAUAGGCUGCUGCUAUUUCAGCUCUCCUGCAAGCUAAUGGUAACAAUAUGACCAGUACCCUUACUGGUAACCUCCUCCAGGUUUGCCAGCCUUUUUCCUUUCAGUGAGCAGUAAAGCCCAAACAUUCACACUUACUUUCUGGUGUGCAGAUUGGCUCUUUUUAAAGAACUUGGUAUUAUGUUGUGUCGCAUUGAAAAAGUAAAUCAUUUUGAAUAGGAAUCCAGAUUUAGUGGCCACUCUGGCUACAUCCUUCUGUGGUGCGUAUCAAUGCUCAUUCACUGCGAAAAAAAAGAACCCUCUUCUCUCUAAAGCAAACUACUUUUCACCAUGAAUCCAUGCUUUACCCUAACUUCCCCAACGCCCUCGAGGGAGGAAAGCAUUAAGCAAGGUAUUGUAUGUAGGCAUAUAUACUGGUAUAUAUAAGCAGCUUAUAAACUUGAGCCAGAAGUGCAGCUGUACAAAUAGAUGCCACAGCUGGCCAACUGAAUGCAAUUAGGCCUGGACUUAUAGUUCUAUGAACAGUCCUUCUCAGUCAUCUCCUCACAGUCACGUCUUUUAAAAAGACAUAAAGAACAGAAAAGUUGACAAGCAUUAUUCCUAAAAUCGAGAGUAAAACAUACAGAUGUUUUUUUCCUCCUUUCCUUCCUUCUUGACUGCGUGGAAAUGAGUCGCUGAGAAAUUCUCACUUUUUCAAUUAAAAUAAGAAGAAUUUUUACUGACUAAAGAAGGCAGGUACAAGUGACUCUGUGAAGUGGUUCAGGAUUUGUUAGUGAGAUGAUGAAAUCAAGAUAGAGACGUUGCUGGGUAAGGCAGAAGGUAAAAAGUUGUAAAUUCAGUGUUAAACCUGUAGCAAAUGUGGCUGUCGUAACCUGCUCUAGCAGGGAUGAUGGCUUCCAACCCUCGGCUAUUAUCUUUGUAGAAAGAUGGAGAUAAAGCUUGUGAACUAUUUUAGUAUGCAAAAGCCUAUUUACAACCAUGAAAGAGAUGUAUAAUGGGAAGUGGAUAGGCGCCACUUGAUGUCACAGAUAUAACUGAGAUCUCCCAUCUUUAGGCAUCUCUCCCCUGUGAGAACAGGCCAAGAGAGUGGGGCUGUUCAGCCUGAGAAGGGAAGGCUCCAGGGAGAUCUGAUAGCACCUUUCAGUAUCUAUAAAAGAAGGCUGUAAGAAAGGACAGUUCUUUAGCAGAGUCUUUUAUGACAGGACAAGGGGAAAUGGUUUCAAUCUAAAGGAGGGAAGAUAUAGACUGAAUGUAAGAGGUUUUUUUAGAAUUGGUGUGGCACAGGUUGCCCAGAUAGGUAAUGGAUGCCCUAUCCCUGGAUAGGGCCUAUCCUCAAGGACAGGCUGGACAGGGCUCUGAGCACUCUGAUGUAGCUGUAGGUGUCCCUGUUCAUUGCAGGGGAGUUGGACCAGAUGGUCUUUAAAAGUCUAUUCCAACUCAAACAAUUCUGUGAUUCUAUGAUUCCGUGUUUCAGUGGUUUUAAUGACACGUGCAUAUGUAGAAAGUACAGAUUUUAUUACUAGACUACAAUACUUGGGCCGUGUCUAUACCACACUGGGAGGGAAGCACUUCCAUGCGAGCGCUCCUCAGCUGGCAUCUCUUUACUGGCUAUGGAGGGAGGAGAUGGCUAUCCAAAUGACUAAAGUGAGUUACUCAGGCCAGGUGUGAAUGAGUCCCUAAAUUCCUCUCCUCCGAGCACCCUGUCCAGUAGACCUAGAGCCCUGAAGACUUGUUACAGUCCAACGCAGAGAAAACUGUGAUUCCAUUUGAUUGCUACAUCCUCAUCCUUCAAGACUGAGUAACUUUUCAAGAUGUGCUUUGAAGAACAGGCCACUGUCGUAAAGCACAUAGAUGAGGGUCAUUACAAAACUAAUUAAUUAUAGCAAGAGAAAAUAAUUGAUUCAAUCUGUAGAUUAAAGAAACUGGGAAGAAAAAUCUUUCCCACUGACCUCAGUGUAGCCAGAUUGUGUCUGUGGUGAGCAUGUAUAGAUGGAGUCCUUUUUAUUUUCAAAUUGAUAACAGCCUUACUACUCAUGCAUUAUCUGGCUGUAUAUUCAUGUGGAACAUCAUAGUAAAGGCUUACUUCACAGGUUUGUGUAUUUUUAAUUCAGACCUAUGAGCCAGGUAUAUCUGUCUGACUGCAGUGUCAGACUUCAGAGCACGACAUCCCAAAACCUGGGAUGUGCCAGCAGAAAUUCCUAGUUUCAGAUGUCUGACUGCUUAGUUUUUUAGGCUGUUCUUAAGACAGAUGACUUUCUUUUCAACUGGAGAACAGCAAGCUUUUAUCAGCACUGAGCUUGCUACAGUUUAUUAUCACUGAUACAUCAAGGUCAGGCAUUUAGAACAGCUGAAGAGGAGAGGGCUGAUCUCAAAGCUCCUUUGUCCAUAAGUUUCCAUGUCCAAAACUACACCCUUUCUAAGCUAGUAAGGGAGUCACGGUUUUUUAGACAGAGAGAAGGUAUUUCACAAAUAUUGGAGAAAAGCAGAAUAGCCAUUUGAAUAUUAAAACACUUCUGCUCUCUAGAAUAAUAGUAACCAUUUCCCUGAUGUUUAAAACCGACAAUAUCCCUUUAUCCUUCCUCUCCAACAAGCUCAUUCUCAUGUGGUCUAUACCUUUCUGCAGAGGAAGCAUCCCACCCACACUGUUGCGUAAUAUUAACAGUAAUGGCCGUGGAUAGCAUGGUUAAAAAGCAAACAACCACCAAGAACCAUGCAGAAUUUACAACAUUCCUGAAGACAGCUCUGUCCUGUAGAUUAUAGCGAGGCCAAGCCCAUGGCUUUGAAAACAUCAUUAUAUGAACAGUCAGAACAGUGGGUCACUGCGUAGAUUUUGGACUGUAUCCAGAAUGUUUUCCACCUGCUGUAACCCAUUCCCACCUGCGCACAGAGCAGAUGUAACUGCUCUGUAUUUCAUAGGAUGCUUUUGCACUGAACAGCUCAGUUGAGCCAACAGGGAAAGAGAUUUAGCAAGCCUUUAGUACCACAGCAUGUGAGGGAUCUCUGUAGGCUGUUUCCUCUGGUAGGGACACCCAGAGCAGGUACCCAGGACCAUGACCACGUGGCUUUCAGGUAUCUCCUAGAAGGUGAUUCCACAAGCUGCCCAUCACCCUCACAUUAAAGACAUGCUUCCCACUUCAUCCCCAGGCAUGCCGGGCGUGUGUAGAGGCAGGGUUGAAGAGUUCUGGAGACCCGAUAGCCUCAGGGCAAGAACAAUCCCAGCUGUAGGGCCUGCUAAGUUUCACUGUUAGGUUUUCAGUCCCUUCUGCUUGAUGGCCACACAGGGAACAUGUAGCACAGUGGCCUGCCCAGCUGGAUGGUCUCAAAUCAUCGGCCCCCAUAUAGCUGCUCAAGCACUUCUCUUCACUGCAAGCUCUUAUUUAUGGACCUGACAAAACCACUUCCAUUUCCAUCCCUGCAGCUACAGCCCAUGUAUUUCACAGCCCAUGUAUUUCUCAGGCCACUAGCAAUCAUUUUUAUCUAAGCGGAUAAUAAUUCAGGCUAGCAGAAGUUAACCAAAUGCUUAUCAAAUUAGCAUCUGUGUGUACACACGGAUCUGUGGCAGAAGAAAAAAGAUUUCUUUUGCAUUUCAAAGCAUCCUUUUGAUCUAGAGGAAGGCAGAUUUUCAAUCUACUUUCUUAUGCAUUUGUAAUUAAUAAUAAAAGUUAUUUUUUAAUUAUUAUUAUUACUUUUUUUAAUCCUUAUGGCCACUCAUUUCUUGGAUUCUUUCUGUUGUUUCACUGCACCAUACAAUGUUUGGUUUCCUGAUUCUUUUAUCAGUCAGCUGUGUUCCCUAUCAGGCUUUUUCUCCCUAUUCCUAUGAUGAGCUCAGGUCACCAAAUCUGGACUCAGUCUGUCUGCAUCCCUAAUGUCUUCAGCUACACUGUACAGCUAUAAAAGCUGUAAUUUGCAUUUGAAUUGGUAGAGUACAGGGGAGGAACCAGAAGGAUCCCAAAUUGGCAAACAGUAAUAUUUCAUGUUUAGUAUCACUCUUAAUAUCACAUUUUAAAAUGGCACAGAUUGAUUUUUAAUCCAGUCCAUUUGCACAUCCUAAAAGCAGUCCCUUUUUAAGUAACCCUGUGCUUUCUUCAGAACUGCCUGUGGUGUUUUCAUGUCCCAGAUAAGUAAUAAAGAACAGUAAAUAGUCUGUUGGUAAAAAACAGUGAUAAGUACUGAGGAAUAUGUGCUUUGCAAUGCGUGCUUAUAAUCUAACUUUGCUGAUCAUGCAGCGAUGAUAGAGAUACAGGUGGUUCGGCCUCAUUUAUGCUAGUUAUUCAAAUAGCUGCAGGAGUGAAAAUAAAGCCAAGGGGCUAAACAUCGUAAAAGUGGAUUAACUUAGUAAUUGCACCUGUGAGGUCAACUCGUGCAGGAGAAGGAAUGAAAAAACAGGAGAAGAGUUCCAACCUCAGAGCCAGGCUUCUGAAAGAGUGACCAGGUGCAAUCCAUACACAGCAAGCAGGUACAGUACAGGCUUUCAUCAGUCUCUCUGGCCCUACUGCAUGGCAUGUAGCUGCCAGCGAUGGAAAUCCAUCAGUGCUAUCUGCAACUUGGCUAUAGAAACGCUUAAUAUCACACUCUCUUUGCAAGGUAUGCAUGCUUUUUCUGAUGUAAAAACACCAUAAAUGAACAAACCACCUCUCUCUGCAACACUCCUUCCCUGAUUUUAUCCCAUUUCUAACUGAAUCUCUACUUCUUUGAUCCUUCAAGGGAGAAGAAACCAUGCACAGUGCUGUGGCUGUUGGCCUGGAUAGUCACGCUCCCCCAGGGCAGCCUUGUCGCUACCUGGUCUCUGUCACCCUCUGUAGAUUUGUGCAUGUCUGCUACUCCAUGGUUGGAGAGAUAGGAUAUUUUCUUUAUAAAAUAAAGUGUCCUAUUUCUUGCCGUACUCAUUUUUUGCUGCUUCCAGGGCUAAGGUCCAGAGCAGAACAAUGUAUGUCUUCUGUUCCCAUAAACCCUAUGAAUAGCAUUACUGUGCAAAACCAGAAAACCUUGGACAUAUUUUUAUGUCAAAGAAAAGUCGCUCAGUAAGCCCCAUUUUCCAAUUUAAUUAAGAGCCAAAAAGGAAAUGAUCAGUCGGGCUUGUUUUCUUGCCCACAUGUAAGCAUCUGGCGUGACAUGAAAUGCCCUCAGGUAGCCCUCCAAGUAUCCAGCUGCUGGUCCAGAAUGUCUUUGAUCUCCUAUAGGGCCCCAUCUGCCAGCUCCACGCAUAGGUCUUAGAAGCACUAAGACCUAAACCAACAGAAGACAAAUGGAGACAAGUGGGGAAUGAGUAACAAAACUUGAACCUUGUUCAGAGUCAAAUUACUAACCUAAGAACACCUUAGGAUAUCUCAGACCACACUAGAUGUCUGCGUGGGUAACUGCAUCAAACGCAAAAGGCUCAGAGGAAUUUACAUUUUAAAAAAUAUCAGGUAGUAUUUUAAUAGAGAUCUCAUAAUGCUGUGAAGGGACAAAGAUACGGGUAUGUUCCCAGUGCAACAAUAAGUAAAAAGGAUAAUAAAUGAGAAAAAAUAAAGAGAGAGAGUUAGUUUCUGGUUUUCAUUUAAAUGAUUCCUUUUGAGGGAAAUGAAACAAGAUGUGCAACCAUGUGUUUCCAAGACGGUCAGAAGUGGCGGUUAAACACUAUUGAGCCACUGCUACGUUUGAAAGAGACUUAAAAAAAAGGUAGAUGCCAAAAAAAAUAACUAGAGACUCUGAAAAUGAGAUGCAGAAUUGGUGAGAGCAUUGAGUAGAAUCUCAACGAAACUGCAGCCCUAAAAGUAUCAGAGUAAACACCAGACCCACAUCUGUAUGAGGCUAAAGAGAGAGAAGGGAGGGAAAGAGUAGAAGCCUGAGUUGCUCUGUUGUUUAUAUUUCAUGAAUAUUAUUUUCUCCCAGCUUACCACUAUAAAAUUAUAAUCAAACCUUAAAUUGCAUUUUAUUGGGUAGUUUAAGUGCUCAUGAAAAUCUUGGAUAAAAUUUCAUAGAAUGGCUUAGGCUGGAAGGGACCUUAAAGACCAUCCAGUUUCAACCCCCCACAUUUAGCAUGUCUAGGAAUGCUUCUGCUUGCUAAAAAGGACUAUAUUAAGCUAACAGUGAGAUACACUGAUAGAGUAUCCCUUUCUAAAUGUUAUCCUCAAACUAUAUUAGUGAUUAAGGCAUCAUUCCUUGUGAUGCCAUGAAUCAAUUGCUGACUUUAUUCAAGUCUACAGAACACAUAAUAACACAGUCAGACAACACUUUCAAAAUCAAGUGAAAAAAUUAUAGGGCCACAGAUGCUUAAAUGCUGAAGAAAAAAGAAAAUAAACUGCUGACCCAAAACUUUAACAUCAGUAAGAAAAAAAAAUAAAAAAAUGCCACCUCCUCAUGCAAGAAUUGAGAAAAUUGCACACAAACCUAUCUGGGAAAUCCUCCCAAUGUGUCCGUGAUCUGUGCUCUGUGCCUCAGAGUAAUCUGUUACCUGGGAACAAAGCUGUGCUUGCUGAAACAGCUCUGCUGCUACAAAGUAACAACCUGUCCUACAAGCAGCAAAGGAAAAUUCAGUUCUCAGUACAAAUAACCUGGCUAUCUAUCUCUAUACAGGUUUGCUUAAGACAAAGAAAGAUAAAGCUUCAUCUCCAAAUAAGGCUGAACAGUCAGGUGAUGCCAUGCUAGCACAGCCCCAGACUGCAUCUGGAUACCAAGGGGAACCUGGUGAGAAUGGCCAGGAUAUAUAUGCCGUGCUCUGCACUGGUUUGUACAUACAAAUCAAAGGUUAUGACACAUGGCAUCAUCUUAAUGUCUCUCAAAAAGCUGAGAUUUAAAUUCCUCACAUAAGACUGGCUUUAACACUCAGAGAAGGGGUUCCGCUUACCUCAAUGAUGGCAUCCCAUGUCCAAUAUUCCACUAUAAUGCAAGCUAAUGGAUCCCACAAUGCAAGAAGAGAAGAAUUACACAGGAGGAAGCCAAGGUUGUGCUCCUAUAAGGUGGUCAUUGUGUACCUCGGGCACAUUAAAGUUAGCUUUGCACAGGAGCAGCACACAGGUGUCUCUCUGGAUGCACUUCUAUUAUCACAGUAAUAGUUGGGUUUAUAUACUGGUAAAUAAGAGAAAUUGGCAGUAUAAUUAAUUUUUGGAGGUGGUUGAGUACAAAGAAGAGUAGUGGGAAGCUUUUUAGUACACAGACAGCAAAUACAGAUUACAUUACAUAGGAGCAUGAGAAUGUGGGAGAGAAUAUAGCUGCCGUAAACACAGAAUUCAGUCAUUUUACCUUAUUUUUUAAAAACAGAUUUAAGCACAUUAACAAUCAGACAAUGAAUUUCUUUGCAGGAUACAUUUAUCACACACAGAAAACAAUACUUAUUGUUUGGUUGAUUAAACAGAGCAAGAAAAAAACGCAACAAAAAACACAAUGCAUUAUUCAAAGUUCUACAUACUAUUUGUUAACUGACAUUUUCAGAACCAAGCUUUUUUUUUGUUGUUGUUUUUCUUUUUAAAAGUGAUCAUGAACAAUGCAUAGUGGGAACAAAGGGUCUAGAAAUCUAACAUUCCACAGCUGUGAGUCAGCAUGAGAAAUAAGGCUACGCAGAGGAAAAAACAUCAGUGGGUUUCAAAACAAUACAUAUUCCAUUGAUAGACUUCAGAUAAGAGCAUACAAAAUCUAAAACCAAAGUGAUGAAUGGAAAGGAGGAAUUAAAAACAUUAACACACAACUUGAAAAGGAAGAAACCACAUUUCUCUUGUGAUGGCUUGGAAAUAGCUUUUAAACUCUGGAACUAAUGGUCAGUGAAGGUCAAUUGCAGCAAAACACACUCUGGAUGAACAUCUAUAGGUGAGAAAUAUCCAUGACCAUUUUACUCAGCUGAAACUACCGCAUCUACUCAUUCAGAGCACACUUACCAAUGGAACAAAGUAUAUAGAAAGAAGUUGGAGCACUGCUUAUUAAACAAUUCAACAAAGGGCUGCAUGCUCUGAAAUGUUAUUUACAAGUUGUUUUGUAGUUUGUCUGGUUGGUUGGUUUUGUUUUUUUCCAUGUUUCAUGCCAAUGCAAAGGCAAUGAAUGGAAUUGCAGUGUUUUAUCCUGUUCUUUCUUCUUACUCUUGCACAUUAGGUCCACUGCUUGGUGGCAGACCCUACUACAGUGCUUUCCAGAUGCUUCAUUAAUACAUACCACAGCGCCCUUCUGAUGAGCCAGAAGGGCUAACGAGUACAACAAAGAAGCACACUGUGGGAUGGAGAGACCCUAUAUAACAGCAAGAGAUCCCCAAAACAGAGUGUUUUUGGUGUGUCGUCAACAAACAGAGAACUUCCCAAUACAAUCACUCUCACCUGGACCAAGAUGGUUUGAAAAUCAUGUUCAGAAUUACCUUUGCUGAAGAAAGACCUUGGAUUAGGGGAUCUGAGAGCAGGCCUGAGAAGUCCAUGUCUCUCCACUGGCUGUAACAAGAAAUGGAUUCUGCAUUAAACAAGUUGACUGACAAGUGCUCCAAGACCUCAUCCUAGCAGCCAGGAAAAGUAAACCAUAUAAGAACUCUUCUUGUUAGAUUGCUUUACUAAGUUACACAAACCUGUGUACUGAAGGUGCAGGGGGUGUCCUACAAACAGCAUGUCCAUAUGGGGCGGAUGUUUUACCCUGAUUAGCCUCGUUUGAUUCUCUAAAGAAGGAGUCACACAAAAGCUUGGAACAGAAUCCUUCUGGCAGUCUGCAUUGGUUCGACAAACUUUGCUGGCUUCAAUAACUUUUCGCGCUGGCAGACAGGCGUACUGCAAAGGGCAUAUAAAACAACUGUCAAAUUUUAAGGUGUUUUCCAACAGUAGUUUAUAUAUUCCUUCCUCAAUCAACAGAAAGGUCUCAUUGAUACGUUACCAGCCCACAAAGAGCCAGAAUCUGAACAAUUAUUGUUUUGGCUUUUUUUUCUCCAUAUCCUACAGAACAUCAACCUGUUACGUAUUCAACCUGUCAUUCCACUUUUGGUGAAGAGGAUCUACAUGCACCCAAAUAAAAGCUGACAUGCACAACAAAAAUCAAGGCAUCUGAACAUAAGUAAGGGAUUUCAAAUGAACAAAGCCUGCAUCAAUGUACCUGUACUUACCUGUUUAAGAAGUUUCAGCAUUCAUUGAUCUAAAAGCUUAUUUGGCUGAACAAAAUCUUAUGUUCAGGAAAGCAGCAAACCACCUUACCCAAGCCACGUUGUUGCUAAGUGACCUUUUUUACUGGAUGAACACAGCACCUGAUGCAGUGCUAUGUCUCUGGUCCUACCUAUGUAAUACUCAUUCACUCCGCAGGCUGAAAGACCAGAUCUUUCUUGCUCCCCACAGGCCAAACAGAGAACAGUAGAAAGGAACAGGAAAUUGUUUUUUUCCCACAUGUCUCUUGUAAAAGCUCCGUGGUAAUUUUCCUUUUGUUCUUAAACACAAGCAAGGAAAGUUCUUCAUCUAUUGUUUGCCUUAGGAAAGAAAAAAGAGGAUUUUCUUGCUUCUUAGCCUGGCAGUUACAAUGCUAUGUAGAUGCAUGUAUGUCAGACACUCCCCAUUAGCCUCAAUACAAGCUCUUUCUUUUCUAAUUAGGAGGAAGCAGCACAUUUUCAAACACUGCUCUGUAGCACUGAAAAUACUAUUUAAAGUUAUUUUGUAAAAACUCACGGCCAUUCUAAGGACAUUUGUAAGUCACGGGAUUCUGGAUGCUUAUAUUUUAUUGCUGUUCCCAAGUGCCAGAUAUGAGGUUAAGAGCGUCAAAGCUCAGUAGAGCAAUGAUUUAUCGAACACUGCUCAACUGCAGGAUGUUACCAGCCACUACCAUAUUUCAAGUGAACUGUUGGUCCAUGCUCAACUCUUAGUGGCUAAAUACAACAAAAGGAUACUGGAGUGGGAAGUUUACAAUCAGAGAACCUGUAAAUAUAUAUAGCAGACAUAAAUAUUUAUCCCUACAGGUCAGAACAAUAACAAAUUGGCACCUGUAGAAAAGUUUACACAGUUUCUACUCUGCUUUUCCUUCUUGUAAAGAGAACUGUUAAAAAUAUUCUAUCACUGUCAAUAUGGAUCACGUAUUUUAAGAAACAUUUCCAUACUUCGAAGACACUAAGGCAAAAUACUACUGGGAAACUUAUGAUGUUUCCAUAAGCUAAAGAAAAUCAGUGCAUUAAAAAAGGAAUCAAAUGGAGGCCUCAAUGUUGAAAAAAUUAAUCUCCAGGAUUUUGACUUGCAUGGUUUUAGUUUUAACUGGUGAACAGCACUGCCAGCUUCACACAAAAUUACAGAAAAGAUAGCCUGGUGUUUCGUUUUGCCUGUAGUGUUUGCCACCUUUAAAGACUGAAGCUCCAAAAUACAGAAUUUAACUCUCUUCUCA